rnacentral:rRNA from 1 species
GACAGAGGUGCCGAGCGUUAGGCGGAAUCACUGGGCUUAAAGCGUGUGUAGGCGGACUUGUAAGUACCUUGUGAAAUCCCACAGCUCAACUGUGGAACUGCUUGGUAUACUGCUUGUCUUGAGCCACUUAGGGGCAGUCGGAGCAGACGGUGGAGCGGUGAAAUGCGCAGAUAUCGGGAGGAACACCCGUAGCGAAGGCGGCACUUUGGGCCGGAACUGACGCUGAGGAGCGAAAGCGUGGGGAGCAAACAGG